rnacentral:rRNA from 1 species
GACGAACGCUGGCGGCGUGCUUAACACAUGCAAGUCGAACGGAAAGGCCCUGCCUUUGUGGGGUGCUCGAGUGGCGAACGGGUGAGUAACACGUGAGUAACCUGCCCUUGACUUUGGGAUAACUUCAGGAAACUGGGGCUAAUACCGGAUAGGAGCUCCUGCUGCAUGGUGGGGGUUGGAAAGUUUCGGCGGUUGGGGAUGGACUCGCGGCUUAUCAGCUUGUUGGUGGGGUAGUGGCUUACCAAGGCUUUGACGGGUAGCCGGCCUGAGAGGGUGACCGGCCUCAUUGGGACUGAGAUACGGCCCAGACUCCUACGGGAGGCAGCAGUGGGGAAUAUUGCACAAUGGGCGGAAGCCUGAUGCAGCAACGCCGCGUGCGGGAUGACGGCCUUCGGGUUGUAAACCGCUUUCGCCUGUGACGAAGCGUGAGUGACGGUAAUGGGUAAAGAAGCACCGGCUAACUACGUG